rnacentral:lncRNA from 1 species
GUCCACCCAUUUCUUUCUUCAUCUCCACCACACCACCUGCAACAAUACCACCACAUUGUCGGCGGCCACUCCCUCAACAUACAGAGGUAUCCCACCGACAAGACACCACCACUGUAUCCCCACUCAUCUUCAUCUCUGUCCCGAUGUUAUAGAUUUGGGAUUUUCAGUGGCGAUAUGGAUUUACAGAUCUGGAAGGGUGAAAGCUAUGGCGUAUGAGGGAGUGAAUUGUGUGUGUGUGUGGGGGGGGGGAUUUUAAAGGAGUACAGAUGUUACGGAUCAUGUUCUUGUUCUUCAUGUUCUAGAUAUGUUUAUUUUUUUUCUUUUUAGGUAUUCGUUUCAAUCAUAUGCCUACGGUUCAUUUGUUUGUUGAAUGGUUGAUGGUGGUGAUUUGGUUGUUGUGA